rnacentral:rRNA from 1 species
UACGUAGGGUGCAAGCGUUAAUCGGAAUUACUGGGCGUAAAGCGCACGCAGGCGGUCUUUUAAGUUUGACGUGAAAGCUCUCGGCUUAACUGGGAGAGGUCGUUGAAGACUGGAAGGCUUGAGGCAAUGAGAGGGGUGUAGAAUUCCCGGUGUAGUGGUGGAAUGCGUAGAUAUCGGGGGGGAAUACCAGUGGCGAAAAGCGGCACCCUAGCGUUAGCCUGACGCUCAUGUGCGAAAGCGUGGGGAGCGAACGGGG